rnacentral:lncRNA from 1 species
CGAGAAAAUUACUGUAAGUGUUCAUCGUUUCGCCCCGACUCUCAAUCUUCUCCGAUGGCCAAGAGACUGGUUCGGAUUGGUGGAUGAUAGAUGGAAUUAUUGGGUUAUUCAAUGCGGCUCGGGAUUCAUAACCGAUUAAAAAGCGAUAUACAUUUAGAUUUCGUACUUUUUAUUGUGAAUCGUCUCUUCGAAUCACUACCGGAGAAAUCGAAGACUUCCGCAAAGGUAUCACUGAAAUUCUUGUUAAAUAUUUAUUUCUUUUGUUUUCACAGUAAAUUGCUUUCUUUAUAGUUUCUGGUGAUGAGUUUUCUGUUUUUUUUUUUUGGGAACUUUAUAAACAGCAGAGCUGCAAAUUUCGUUGUCGUGUUAAUGUCUAGUUUCUUUGUCAAAUCACAUUAGGUUCAGUGGAUUAAUGGAACUCUAAAAUGGUAAAAAUUAAUGCAAAAAGAUUCAGAGCUCUAUAUAGGUGGGUUUUUUUUUUUUGUUGAUAAAAAAUGUGCUUUCACAAUUUUAGGCUUCUGGUUAUUUUAAUUAUUGUUCUUUGAAUUGAAAGUCUGGAACUAGAAUUCCGUAUCUGUAGUUGAUGUAUGAAUUUGGAAUUUCGUAGACUUUGUUUACUUUUGAGGACUGGGACUGUUUCUAAGCUAGGGAUCUAGAGCUCGAUUUAUGGGGUAUGAUAUUCUUAUGACUAAUGAAUUGGAGUUCCUUUGAAACACUAGUUUGAACUACAAUUUGAUCCAUUUCUGUUGUAUAUAGUAUUAAUGGAAUAUACGAAUAAGUUCUAUUAUAUGGAUCCAGAUUGGGUUCCUUUACAACCAAAUGGGUAUUUCUAUUCAUAUUUAUAAAUGUAUUAAGAUAUUCUGUAAUUUAUUUAUCACCAUUAAUCAGUAUGCAUAAUAUGAUAGGUUCGAUUGUGGAGUAUAUGUUUGCAUGAUGAUGAUGUUUGAGAUGGGGGCAUUUGAGCUGUCAGAAGUAAUUUUUUUUAAUUAGAUAACUUCUUAAUUUAAUUUCUACAUAUAUGCUCAUUUUAAUUGUGGCCUAAUGAAUCUAUUGCCUAUUAGGAGCAAUCUGAUAUCUUCCGACAACAAAUUGCCAUUAAUCUAUACAAAAGCAAUUACAAUAUGUUCGCUUCGCCGAGAUAGGAACUUUUAUGCUUGAUAUAGAUUCUCGAUAAUGGUAAGUAUGAUAUUAAUGCAUUUGUUAUCUAUGUAUUGCGUUUUGUAUUGCAGUGUAGUUGUUCUUUCGAGGUAUAUUGGUUGGGCUAAUUCAUUGUUUUUUUGUGCUUUGAUAGGUGUUAUGGAGUUUUAGCUUUUCAUCUUCGUGCGUAGUUAAUCUUGGAGCUCGUUUGUCUUGGGAACAGUUACUCUUGUUAGCUUUUAACAUAUUUUGUGGUCCUCCGUAUUUUUCUUUCUCUUUCGUUUAUGAUUAAUUGCAGGUGAUUUUAGAGACUGAAUUUUUUCUUUUUUUUAUUGAAUUUGGGUUUUGGUUCAGGAUAAAUUUGAAUCCGACGAACUUUGGGGAUAUGUAUGUUUUGAUUUUAUUGAUUUAAAUGAUUUUUAUAGUGAUGGAUUGUGGGUCUUAAUGAGUUCUUACGGCCUGGAGAGUUAUAUUUUUAUCUUUUUAUUUUUGUAG